rnacentral:rRNA from 1 species
UACGGGGGGGGCAAGCGUUGUUCGGAAUUACUGGGCGUAAAGGGCUCGUAGGUGGCCAACUAAGUCAGACGUGAAAUCCCUCGGCUUAACCGGGGAACUGCGUCUGAUACUGGAUGGCUUGAGUUCGGGAGAGGGAUGCGGAAUUCCAGGUGUAGCGGUGAAAUGCGUAGAGAUGUGGAGGAACACCGAUGGCGAAGGCAGCCCCCUGGGUCAAAACUGACGCUCAUGCACGAAAGCGUGGGGAGCAAACAGG